rnacentral:rRNA from 1 species
UACGGAGGAUGCAAGAGUCAUACGGAAGUAUUGGGCGUAAAGCGUUCGUAGGUGGUUUGACAUGUCUGGGGUUUAAGCCCGGAGCCCAACUCCGGAUCAGCCCUGGAAACUGUCAGACUAGAGUAAGGUAGGGAUUGCGGGAAUUCCCGGUGUAGAGGUGAAAUGCGAAGAUAUCGGGAAGAACAACAGCGGCGAAAGCGCGCAACUGGGCCAUUACUGACACUGAGGGACGAAAGCUAGGGGAGCGAAUGGG